CGUAGGUGGCAAGCGUUGUCCGGAUUUAUUGGGUUUAAAGGGUGCGUAGGCGGCCUAUUAAGUCAGUGCUGAAAUAUCCCGGCUUAACCGGGAGGGUGGCAUUGAUACUGAUGGGCUUGAGUAGAGUCGAGGUAGGCGGAAUUGACGGUGUAGCGGUGAAAUGCUUAGAUAUCGUCAAGAACACCAAUAGUGUAGACAGCUUACUAGACUCAAACUGACGCUGAGGCACGAAAGUGUGGGGAUCAAACAGGAUUAGAUACCCUGGUAGUCCACACUGUAAACGUUGAUUACUCGCUGUGUGCGAUAUACAGUACGCGGCUUAGCGAAAGCGAUAAGUAAUCCACCUGGGGAGUACGCCGGCAACGGCG
rnacentral:rRNA from 1 species